ACACCCACAAACAACAUAUCAUCUGUUCAGGAGGAAAUGAUAAUAAUAGAUUCACAAGGGAUGUUUUAAUACUUGCUCUUCUUUUGUCAUGCGGGAUUUUGAAUGAAGGGACGUUACUCGUAAUGGAGUAUUUUUACAGUUACUCGAGUAAAAGGCCCGUCCUUCCAAAACUGCCGCAUCAUAUCCUGCAGCAGUCCACCGCAUCUACGUCCCAGAUGUUGCAGUGCGAAGCUCCCGUGGCGUCUUUAAGAUAGCCGUCGGGCCCUCGGUGCAGAACGACUCCUCACAGGCAGGGAUGCCCUUCACUUGAUGGGAUCAAUCAAAGGACGUGCCUCAGAAGUUCAAGUCGCCGCUAGGCGUGUGUGUGUGCAGGCCUGUGUGUGAGUAGGCGCGUGUGUGUGUGUGCAGGCCUGGGUGUGAGUAGGCGUGUGUGUGUGCACGGCCUGUGUGUGAGUAGGCGUGUGUGCGAG
ensembl:lncRNA